UUGCACGCUGGCGGCAGGCCUAACACCUGCAAGUCGAACGGUAACAGGAAGCAGCUUGCUGCUUCGCUGACGAGUGGCGGACGGGUGAGUAAUGUCUGGGAAACUGCCUGAUGGAGGGGGAUAACUACUGGAAACGGUAGCUAAUACCGCAUAACGUCGCAAGACUAAAGAGGGGGACCUUAGGGCCUCUUGCCAUCGGAUGUGCCCAGAUGGGAUUAGCUAGUAGGUGGGGUAACGGCUCACCUAGGCGACGAUCCCUAGCUGGUCUGAGAGGAUGACCAGCCACACUGGAACUGAGACACGGUCCAGACUCCUACGGGAGGCAGCAGUGGGGAAUAUUGCACAAUGGGCGCAAGCCUGAUGCAGCCAUGCCGCGUGUAUGAAGAAGGCCUUCGGGUUGUAAAGUACUUUCAGCGGGGAGGAAGGGAGUAAAGUUAAUACCUUUGCUCAUUGACGUUACCCGCAGAAGAAGCACCGGCUAACUCCGUG
rnacentral:rRNA from 1 species